GGAACCACAUUCCUAUAAGAUUACCGAAGUUAAGCAACGUCGAGCCUGGUCAGUACUUCGAUAGGUGACUUCUUCGGAAUACCAUGUGCUGUAA